rnacentral:rRNA from 1 species
AGUGAACGCUGGCGGUAGGCCUAACACAUGCAAGUCGAACGGCAGCACAGUAAGAGCUUGCUCUUACGGGUGGCGAGUGGCGGACGGGUGAGGAAUACAUCGGAAUCUACUUUUUCGUGGGGGAUAACGUAGGGAAACUUACGCUAAUACCGCAUACGACCUACGGGUGAAAGCAGGGGAUCUUCGGACCUUGCGCGAUUGAAUGAGCCGAUGUCGGAUUAGCUAGUUGGCGGGGUAAAGGCCCACCAAGGCGACGAUCCGUAGCUGGUCUGAGAGGAUGAUCAGCCACACUGGAACUGAGACACGGUCCAGACUCCUACGGGAGGCAGCAGUGGGGAAUAUUGGACAAUGGGCGCAAGCCUGAUCCAGCCAUACCGCGUGGGUGAAAAAGGCCUUCGGGUUGUAAAGCCCUUUUGUUGGGAAAAAAAAGCAGCAGGUUAAUACCCCGCGGUUCUGACGGUACCCAAAGAAUAAGCACCGGCUAACUUCGUG